CUUUCAGGAAUGCUCUCAUCGUUAAUUUAAUGGAUUGCUAUCCAUCAACAAAUGGUCUAUUUCCUCACAUUCUUCUCUUGCCUGUUGUGCUCUGACACUAGGCACGUACUAAAUUUACAAUGGAGUUGUCAGGCUUUUGAACUUGGCUCUA